rnacentral:rRNA from 1 species
UUGGCUACGUUCGGGAGGGAUAACCGCUGAAAGCAUCUAAGCGGGAAGCCUGCUUCGAGAUGAGUGUUCCCACCUCCUUGAGAGGGUAAGGCUCCCAGUAGACGACUGGGUUGAUAGGCCGGAUAUGGAAGCCCUGCAAGGGGUGGAGUUGACCGGUACUAAUAGGCCGAGGGCUUGUCCUCAGUUG